rnacentral:lncRNA from 1 species
GUAGAAGUUCACAGGAGAGGAAAGUUCUUUCCUGCACCAGGUUCUAUGGAGAAUUGGUUGCAUGGUUUCUCGUGCUGUGGGCAUCAGGGACUUCAGGUGAAGGUAUUUAGCUGUGGCUUUGUGCAAACCUCAGAACUGUGUCCUCCAAGGGCCUGGGGUAUUUGGCAGGCGCUGUCUCUUGCUGCCUUUGCUGCUGUAUGACAGAAUGAAUAAGCAAGGGAUUGAAGAAGCCAAGAUAAAUGGUGGAAAUCCGGAGGACACCCCUCUCCACCAUCAUUUGUCAAUAGGCAAUUUGGUCUCUUGCUUCAUAGACAAAAUAGAAGCCACCUGGAGGCAACUUCCUCACCCAUCGACAAGCUCACCAGCCUUCAUGCCUGUCCUUUGGAGCUUCCCUGCAGACAGUGGCAGCCACCUUCCUCGGGAACCACCUUCCUGGGCCUCUCCUUCAGUCAAGCUGCACAGCAGCAUUUUCUACACUUGCUCUGGCGGCAUCCUCACUGUCAUGCACUAGCGGUUGUUGGUGAGGUUCUUCAGGCUGCAGAUGGAGACAUGGGAAGGGCUGGACUGGCUCCCCUUCUCACUGUGGCUGGGCAGGGUAGGGGGUACCCCGGCUUCCAGGAUCUCUGGAAGCAAGGACAACCUCAAGGGCUGAUCCACAUCCUCUGGUGCCAUCUGCCGCCCAGAUGGGGACACAGCCCUCUUGCUGCACCGAGAAAAUGUGUGUCCUGGAUUCUCCGUGAGCUUUUCUGAAUUAAAACAAACAACAUAAAAUCAUGGGAGUGCCUUUAAUUACUGUUGAAUAAGUGAAUAAAAUAA